AUUCAGCUGACGAUUCCCAAAUAGGACGAAACAUAUGUCUUGGAU
rnacentral:hammerhead_ribozyme from 1 species